AAGAAGAAGAUGAGUAAACCUCGUCACAUGCUAAGAAACCUAGAUCUACCAAAAGCAAAGCAGAUAACAGACAGUGUUCAGGGUGAGUGGUGGAGCAAAACAGCUGGGGAAUAAAACAAAAUGGAUUUAAGGUGAUUACUUCUGUUGGGAAAUGGACACAUCAGGGAGCUGCUACACGCAGAAGAGUGGAUUUCUCCACACAGAUCCGGCGUCCAGAUUUCUGGAUUCUGGAACUACAGACAUCCACUCUGUCUGUCACAUGGAUGUGCAGGGUUAUAGACGAGUGUGCUGGAAGGUGUGGCUCUGCCACUUUGGAGCCUUCAUUUCCUUGGGUACGCUGCUGUUGUUGUUCAAGUGGCGACCCCGCCUCGGCGUCCUGGCUCGUUGUUCUUCCUGCCCCGUUCCAUGGGCAGAUAUCUUACUACUGAGGGAUAGUUACGGGCAGAGUUUUGUCAUAGAGGUACAAACAGAAGAGAUUGAAGAGGGGAGUUUAGGCUUCACAGGAGGAGAGCUGGAUGAGAAUGAGAGCAGAGACGAUAUCCAGCUGCAAAAAGAUGAGAAAACCCUACUGCGAUACUAUGUGUUUGAGGGCAUGCGGUAUGUGUGGCUGCCCAAAAAAGGGGCUUUCUGCAAAGUUAGUAUUCUUAGUGAUGGUUGGACUUGUGCUGAUCUGCACCACAGACAGGAAGGACUUAGUCAAAUGGAACAAAUUUCAAGGAGACAGAUUUUUGGGGACAAUAUCAUUGAUGUACCUGUGAAGUCUUAUUUGCAGUUGCUGAUUGAAGAGGUCCUCAACCCCUUCUACAUAUUUCAAGUCUUUAGCAUUAUCCUGUGGAUGUCAGAUAAAUACUACUUUUAUGCUGUUUGCAUCUUUAUAAUAUCUUUCUUAUCCAUCGCUGUAUCCUUGUACGAGAUCCGGAAGCAAAGCAACACUCUGCACCACAUGGCCCAGCUCAUAGUGAACGUCACUGUACGCAAAGCCACUGGAGAGGAGGAGUGCGUGAGUUCGGUUGAACUAGUGCCAGGAGACUGUGUGCUGAUUCCUGCUGAAGGUCUGCACCUACCAUGCGAUGCUGCCCUGCUGGCCGGGGAGUGUUUGGUGAAUGAGAGCAUGUUGACUGGUGAGAGCGUACCUGUGAUGAAGACCCCAUUGCCAGUCUCAGAAGUGAAGUACAGUCCCGAAUCUCAGCGAAGACACACACUUUUCUGUGGUACCCAGAUCAUCCAAGCCAAAGGGGGUUGCCCAAGCGGGAAGGGGGCCGUAGCUGUAGUUACACAGACGGGCUUUUUCACCGCUAAAGGUGACCUCAUCAGCUCUAUUCUCUACCCACAGCCAGUUAACUUCCGUUUCUAUGCAGAUGCCAUGAAAUUUCUACUUUUCUUAGGAGUUCUGGCACUGAUUGGCACAAUAUACAGUAUAGUGGUACUUUACCGGAGCAAUGCGACAUGGGGGGAGAUCGUGAUCCGUUCUCUGGACAUUAUCACCAUUAUUGUACCUCCAGCUCUCCCUGCUGCUUUAACAACAGGCACGAUUUAUGCCCAGCAGCGCCUCAAGAAAAACGGUGUGUUCUGCAUAAGUCCACCUCGCAUCAAUGUCUGUGGAAAGAUUUCUCUCUUCUGCUUUGACAAGACAGGCACUCUGACUGAGGAGGGUCUGGAUGUGUGGGGGGUGAAGGAGGCUAGCAGAAAUGGUACAGGGUUUCAUGAGCUGGUACCUGACCCCUGUCUUCUCUCACCGGGACCCAUGCUGUGGGCCUUGGCUUCCUGCCAUUCAGUAGCUUUGCUUGGUGAUCAACCCAUUGGAGACCCACUGGAACUAAAAAUGAUUGAGUCUACAGGCUGGAAACUGGAGGAGCUGACUAACGAAACGGAAAGUCUUGAGUUUGGAAGUCAUCGGAUCCUCGCAUUGAUGAAGCCACCUACUUUAGAGUCUGAAGGCAUAGCUGCUAGUCAGUCGGUAGCAAUAGUGCGCCGUUUCCCUUUUUCUUCCACUCUACAGAGGAUGAGUGUGGUGGCGGUGGUCUCGGGGGGAGGCUCGGCUUACAGCUUUCUCAAAGGGGCACCUGAGAUGGUGGCCAGUUACUGUGUAAGGGUACCUUCUCAGUUUACCAACACACUACGGGAGUUCGCCAGUGAGGGUUUCAGGGUCCUAGCCCUUGCCUACAAGGAGGUUGAUGUGCAUACAGACCUCAGCAGUAUUGAAAGGGUAGAGGUGGAAAAAGACUUGCAGUUCCUGGGGCUGUUAGUAAUGAAGAACAAGGUGAAGCCUGAAAGUGCAGGAGUCAUUAACAUUUUGAGACAAGCACUAAUCCGCCCUGUCAUGGUCACUGGCGAUAACAUUCUUACAGCCCUGAAUGUAGCCCGAGCAUGUGGAAUGAUGUCCUCACACGAGCAGGUUGUUUUUGUUCAUGCGUCUCCCCCUACUGCCAACUCAAUGGCAGUGUUACGAUUUCAUCAAGGUGAUGGUUCGCCUGCUGUCGUCAGCACUCAAGAGACCAUGAAUAUUCUGGAACAGGGCUUGUACCAGAACAGUAUUAAGUAUCAACUGGCUAUAAAUGGAAAGUCGUUUGCAGCUCUGUGCGAUUAUUUUCCAGAACAACUACCUAAGGUUCUGAUGAAAGGAACAGUGUAUGCUCGGAUGUCUCCAGACCAAAAAACUCAGCUGGUUAAAGCUCUACAGAAACUGAAUUACAGGGUGGGCAUGUGUGGGGACGGAGCUAACGACUGUGGUGCGUUGAGGGCUGCUGAUGUUGGAGUCUCUCUGUCUGAGGCUGAGGCUUCUGUUGCUUCACCCUUUACCUCCAAAUCUGACAACAUCAGCUGUGUGCCUUUGCUGAUCAGAGAAGGAAGAUGCUCGCUGGUGACGUCUUUCAGUCUUUUCAAAUAUAUGGCAUUGUACAGUCUGAUCCAGUUUUCCUCUGUACUCAUCCUCUACACCGUGAAAACAAACUUGGGAGAUUUGCAGUUCCUCUACUUUGACUUGGCCUUGGUGACGGUGCUCGCUAUAGUGAUGGGUCGAGGUGGCCCUAGCGAUAAGCUUCACCCCAAGCGCCCCCCCGCCAGCCUCCUAACUCUGCCUGUUCUAUCCUCUUUACUCCUCCACACAUUACUGCUCAUUCUGUGCCAGGUGGCUGCUCUGUUCAUCACUAAAUCACAGGAAUGGUACAUUCCUCUCAAUUCCACUGUGGUUGGAGCAGAAAAUUUGCCAAACAUGGAGAACACGAGUGUGUUUACUCUCUCGGGGUUCCAGUACAUCAUCAUGUGUAUAGUUGUGACAAAAGGCUACCCUUACAAGAAACAGCUUUACAAAAAUGCCACCAGGCUCAAGAUUGUCCUGCAAAUGAGGGACUGUAAAUAACUGAAGGUAAUGGAUAAAAUAAAAUCCUUCUGUUGUGCUUCUGUUAACGCGAGCCCAUUUCCUGCACAAGGCUAGAUCACACUGAUUCAUGACAGUCAUUUUCUGUAAUUAUAGCUCUAUCUUUAAGUAUCUUCAGCAUUUAAACACCUUGUCAGUAUGUUUUAGUCUUCUGCCGGCUUAUAACACAAAUUUUUUAAACUGUAUUUUCUACAUAUUGCACGAGUUUCUGCGUUUUAACCUUUUUUUUUCUCUGUUUUCUGUCGUUCCUUGUAGUUGUUUUUCUAUUUGUUCUUCUGGUCCUGUUUGCGGCCACGAUUUUGCUCGUUCUGGUCCCCGAUAACUUUAUUCACAAAGUAAUGCAGCUGUAUAACAUUAACGACAUGAACUACAAGCUGCUGCUGCUGGCACUCGCUGCACUCAACUUCUUCACAUGCUACUUGCUAGAGGUUCUUAUUGACACAUUUGUUCCAAACUGCCUCCGUACCCUUCGUGGAAAGCGUGAGUCUAAAAAGCAGUACAAGCGUUUGGAUGCCCAGCUAGCAGAAACUCCAUCAUGGCCACCGCUGGAUCAGCUGCUUUACCCUUCACAGUGUACUGUAAUCGGAGUUAGCUAGCAUAACCCUCCUGGAGCAACAAUCAUUUAAAUAGUUUUUUUUUCCAUAGCUAAAAGUGCCACUAAUCGACUACCUCCUACUGCAUAGAUAGUGAAGUCAUAAUUAAAUACUUGAUGAAAUUCUCAUGUUUUGGUCAGCUGUCGGUAAAACGUAUGCCACCAUCCUAGUCCCCUAGAAGACUUUUUUCGUGAAGAAAUGAACAUGUUCCUGAGACUUUUCGCUACUUACAGCACCCCUCUUACUGUCUUCAAACAAGCUACAAUUCUCUUACCUUCUCCCUGACUGUCUCCUUUCCAGACCUUCACCUUGCCAUUAGGCAGUAACCUCCAACGCAUUAGGGAAUACCAUAUGGCACGGAAAUGUAACCAUGGACGCUUCAGACACUCAAUGACCGCAGACGUGAGGGGCUACUAGGAUGGAUGAGAAGAAAUUCUCAAGAUGACCAAAAUGGAAGACUUCUCACAAAUCCAUUUAAGAGGAUAAUGACCGUAUAAAUAUCAUACAUCAAAUAAUACAAUACAUUGUGUGUAGUAGGUCAUUUGGGAUGGAGCUACUGACUACAUCAUUAAAUAGUUGCAGCACUAAAGGUUUAUAGAUAAAAAAUAUAGGAUUAAAUGAAGCAUUGAAUCAGAUGCCAGAAUGUGUUGUGCACUGCAAUGGCAUCCAGUCGUGUUAAUGGGAAAUGCGCUCAUUAUGAAAAUUGAGAUGAUCUACCGCCUAUUAUAUACGGCACUGUUACCAUAAAAACAAUGUGUAUAUGUAUGUGUGUGUGUAUGUAUAUAUAUACAUACACACACACAUACAAAUGAAAUGAAGUGACCUGACAUACACCUAAGUAGACCCAUAUUCAGAAUUUGUUCUCUGCAUUUAACCCAUCCAAAGUGCACGCACACCGCAGUGAACACACACCCACCAUGAACACACACCCAGAGCAGUGGGCAGUCAUUUGUGCCAUUCGUGGUGAGCCAUUUGGGAGCAGUUGGGGGUUCGGUACACACACAAACACACAAAUAUACACAAGACUCUCAUUUGUAAUGUAAUAAAAGCACUUUAAAAAUGUU